rnacentral:lncRNA from 1 species
ACAUACAGGUAUUUGGCUUGCUGAAGUAAGAGUAGAAGAAUUUACUAUGUUUUACUUUCUUAUUUUUUUAGGUGAGAGAAUCUUUUGACAAAUUGCCUGGCAGAUCACUAACUGGAAAAGACAUCUAAGUUGCCACCGGCAAUUAGAGCAAACAGGAUUUUUCUGGAAGCUUCUUCCUUUUCCUCCUGCUCUUCUGCAGCAAGAAACCACUGGGUUCCCUCAAAGUUAAAACCAACUGCAAGCCUGCCAAAACCCAAAGCUAUACACUGUCGGAGGACGCCGGAGUGGGAGGUGGGCCCGGAGUAACGACGGAGU